GGGCUAUUAGCUCAGGUGGCUAGAGCGCACCCCUGAUAAGGGUGAGGUCCGAGGUUCGAGUCCUCGAUAGCCCA
rnacentral:tRNA from 1 species